rnacentral:tRNA from 1 species
GUAACCCUAAGAAAACUGCCUAAAAACGGACUACGAAUCCGUAGGUCGGGGGUUCGAAUCCCUCCGGGCGCACCA